rnacentral:rRNA from 1 species
GACGUAGGGCGCGAGCGUUGUCCGGAUUUAUUUGGGCGUAAAGAGCUCGUAGGCGGCUUGUCGCGUCGUCCUGAAAAACCUGCAGCUCAACUGCAGGCUUGCGGUCGAUACGGGCAGGCUGGAGUUCGGUAGGGGAGACUGGAAUUCCCGGUGUAGUGGUGAAAUGCGUAGAUAUCGGGAGGAACACCAGUGGCGAAGGCGGCAUCCUGGCCAUGUACUGACGCUCAUGGGCGAAAGCGUGGGGAGCAAACCGG